GCCCCGGUGGCCGAAUGGGUAAUGCGGCCACCAGGUAGCGCCUUGGUGUGGGGACCCAGGGUGCGUGGGUUCGAAACCCACAGGGGACAACAUUACAUCCGGAGCCAACUUCUCAGCUCCUAAAAUAAUGGGAUGUGAACUUGCCAAGUAGGUACCUUCGGGCGGACCUACUACCUGAUUUAGCUUAUUGUUUCUGGGCUGGAAACCUGUAUUGCAUGUACCAAUCCUGUCUUUCAUUAAUUUUCCUAUGUUCUUGUUAUUCUUGGUGCUGUUCAACACUAAGCAUUCCUCCGGUAUAACCAACUCUUGCCUGUAUUUAACAUCACACAAGGACUCGUCAUAAGCGCUGCUUGCAUACGAGUAUAACGGAAUAAUAAUAAUAAUAAUAAUCUCA
rnacentral:sRNA from 1 species